GAUGAACGCUGGCGGCGUGCCUAAUACAUGCAAGUCGAGCGAACAGACGAGGAGCUUGCUCCUCUGGCGUUAGCGGCGGUCGGGUGAGUAACACGUGGAUAACCUACCUAUAAGACUGGGAUAACUUCGGGAAACCGGAGCUAAUACCGGAUAAUAUAUUGAACCGCAUGGUUCAAUAGUGAAAGACGGUUUUGCUGUCACUUAUAGAUGGAUCCCCGCCGCAUUAGCUAGUUGGUAAGGUAACGGCUUACCAAGGCGACGAUGCGUAGCCGACCUGAGAGGGUGAUCGGCCACACUGGAACUGAGACACGGUCCAGACUCCUACGGGAGGCAGCAGUAGGGAAUCUUCCGCAAUGGGCGAAAGCCUGACGGAGCAACGCCGCGUGAGUGAUGAAGGUCUUCGGAUCGUAAAACUCUGUUAUUAGGGAAGAACAAAUGUGUAAGUAACUAUGCACGUCUUGACGGUACCUAAUCAGAAAGCCACGGCUAACUACGUG
rnacentral:rRNA from 1 species